rnacentral:rRNA from 1 species
GAGUAACACGUGGGUAACCUACCCAUCAGAGGGGGAUAACACUUGGAAACAGGUGCUAAUACCGCAUAACAGUUUAUGCCGCAUGGCAUAAGAGUGAAAGGCGCUUUCGGGUGUCGCUGAUGGAUGGACCCGCGGUGCAUUAGCUAGUUGGUGAGGUAACGGCUCACCAAGGCCACGAUGCAUAGCCGACCUGAGAGGGUGAUCGGCCACACUGGGACUGAGACACGGCCCAGACUCCUACGGGAGGCAGCAGUAGGGAAUCUUCGGCAAUGGACGAAAGUCUGACCGAGCAACGCCGCGUGAGUGAAGAAGGUUUUCGGAUCGUAAAACUCUGUUGUUAGAGAAGAACAAGGACGUUAGUAACUGAACGUCCCCUGACGGUAUCUAACCAGAAAGCCACGGCUAACUACGUGCCAGCAGCCGCGGUAAUACGUAGGUGGCAAGCGUUGUCCGGAUUUAUUGGGCGUAAAGCGAGCGCAGGCGGUUUCUUAAGUCUGAUGUGAAAGCCCCCGGCUCAACCGGGGAGGGUCAUUGGAAACUGGGAGACUUGAGUGCAGAAGAGGAGAGUGGAAUUCCAUGUGUAGCGGUGAAAUGCGUAGAUAUAUGGAGGAACACCAGUGGCGAAGGCGGCUCUCUGGUCUGUAACUGACGCUGAGGCUCGAAAGCGUGGGGAGCAAACAGG